GGUAGAUAUCUCAAUGUCUAAAAGGGAAUGGGAUGACCUCCUAGCAACUUUGACAUAAAUUCUAGAAGGCUGACCAACAGCAUCUAUGCCAAGGAAAGGAAGCUGGGACCAGGCGAAGCAAUAAAGCAGGUCAUGAGUUAAAUUUUCACCACACUGAAACAAUUACACAGCCUGUGGCAUCUUCCUCAGGAUGGAAGGGAAGAUGAGAGGAGACAUACUGCUCUAGCCUCUUAUUUAUCACAGGUCAUAUAUUGUGAAAACACUUCACUGGCAUCCACGAACUCUUUACUAAACACAUCUUUCCAGGCCUUCACAUGUCAGAGUAUUAAACAAACAAGCAUGGACAGCGUGAUAAGGAGAGUUUAACUGUUUAGCUAAGCACACCUCUGCCAUCUUUCCUCACGUCUACAGCCUGCAACAGUCCAUACACCACAGAAAUGGCUAGAUGGCCACCUGAUCAAAUUCUCAAUAGCUCCGCUGAGGUAGACAGGAGGUAGACUUAAAUAGCUCAGGACCACGAGUUACUAAUAACCAUGGUUUCGGAUAGGCUAGCUUAGGAAAAGGCCGCAAAAAGAAAGCUCUCUGAGCCUGUGUGCUUUAGCAAUGCUAAUAUUCCUUCUGACUAUCGUAUAUAUGAUACACUUAAAAUUGAACAGUCCUCAGCUUCUAUGGCUCCUGCUUAGCCAACUGCCAGGAAGAGUUACUAGUCCAGACAGUUACACAUCCGCUUGUGAAGCAAAGAUCGUAGGUUUUAGUGUAUCCAGUCUCUCAUCACUCCUAAAGGGAAACCCUGUCCCACUGGUGCUCAGUCCCCAUCCCUUGUUCUCUAAUUUGCGGUCAAAUUUCUCUCUUGCCAGUGAUAGCUAUUAUUGGAAGUUCUUACGUAACAGCACUUCUGCUAAGUUCAGAAAAGAGAACACUUGAAAUUACCUAAUAAUCUAGCAGCUAGAUCAUCGGUCCUGACAACCCACAAAGACAUGAAUGCUUGGGAAAAGGACAAAUACAAAGUGCUGAAGGUCUCAACGGCAGGCACAGGUCUGAAGUCCUCCCCUCACCGCCAAGUCUACAGCAGCCUAAACUAAAGUAAGCUCUGACGAUGCUGCUCUGCGCUGACCCCUGGAAAACCACCUCGGUGCUAGCGUUCUGAGUCACCUCGGGAUAAACACUUUGGCCAAAAGCAACUCAGAAAAGUGGGUUUAUGAGGCCUACACUUCCAAGUCAUAAUUCAAGAGGGGAGCAGAACCCACGGAGAAGGCUGUGCUUGCUGGCACGUUCACCUCUGGCUAUCAUACAGCCCAAGACCACCUGCCCAAGACGGAUGGUUCUGUAACCCACCAUGAGCCUGGCCCUCCCACAGAGGCCACAGACCAGUCUCACCUGGACAGUUCUCAACUGAGACUCCCUAAGACUCCAGGCUGUGCUAAACGUCAGCUGAAGCUGAGCUGGGACAAACUUUUACUGAAGGAAAAACUGGACUGGCUGGGUGGUGCACACCUUUAAUUCCAGCACUUAGAAGACAAAGGCAGGAAGAACUCUGAGUUCUGGGCAAAACUGGAUAGCUGGAUUGUAGCCACUUGGACCACAGCAAGUAGAACACACCAGUCUUCUGUGCACAGAGCAGCUGUCAUAGUUUGUAAACUUCACUGAACAAAGCACAGAUGAAAUUAAUUAAAUGAAAAAUGUUCUAAGCAUAUUUCUCUUUAUUCUCAGACAUUGCUGUUUAGAAAUAAAAUGAAAAUCACUAUUUUUUCUUUUGUUUUUGAGGCAGGGUUUCAUUAUGUAGCCCUGGCUGGCCUGGGAAAUACAGAGAUCCACUUGCUUCUGCCUACCAGUGCUAGGAUUAAAGGCCUAGGCUAGUAUGUCUGGCAGAAAACACUACUGUGUUAGUUGGCAACUGAUUUUUUUAAUUGCCAGAAGGUUAAGACAUAGACUUGAAAGGCAGAGUUCCAUUCAUAACAAAUUAUAACUUUUGGGUUAUUUCUAAAAUCUGAUUCUAAAUGAAGUAGAAAUAAUUCGUGAAGCAGAAAUUUAUCAAAAAAUAUACAGUGGGAAAUCUAUUCCCUAAGACUGGUUUUAUGAUUUUAGUUACUGGAAAGAUUUAGAUAAAAAAACCAUGUUAACCUAAUGAUGUAAUUACUUUACUCAUAAAAAUCAAACCCCAGAUAUUAAUAUUGCACAGCCACAGGAGGGAAGGUUUUCCAAGUCUCCUAGAAUUAGUUCUCUGACAUGGUUGACUGCUCCAUGGUAGCCAUUUCUAACUUUGUAUUUUUGGGUGUGGGAAGAUGCUCUGGUGACCAUGAUGGGAGCAGGAUUGGAGACAGGGUCGCUGCUGUUCCAAUCAGGGUGCUGGAAGGUGACAAUUCCUAUGUGGAGUUCAAAGAGUAAAGACAGAACAUAUGCAGAUGCUGCAAAUUCAUAGAGGCUAGGGGAUAAAUAUCAAUGUUCUAGAAGCAAAUUUACAGACUAAUUCUAAUGCUCAUAUCAUGAAUGAGGAAGCCAUAAAAUGUUGAUGUGACUUUCCUUCUCGAUCACUGUGUGUUCAUAGCAACAAAAAGUAACACACUAGGAUUGUGUGGGUCCACAUCUAUCCCCAUCCACACACCCAAUUUCACCAGACAGUGUUGAGACAAGCCCUUAUCAUAAAGCCACUGCUAGACAGACUACCCAUACUUCACUCUGUCCCAAAUGCCACUGGAUUUAAAAGAAAGCCUAUAAACUCCUGCUCACACUGUACUGAAGCACGCUCGACAUUUAAACUGUACAAUGUAGUGUUAUGAUAUCCACUUAUACUGUGAAAUGGUUAUUAUACAAUAUUCAGAGUUCAAAUUUUGAGUUUUCUUACUUAAAUAAUAAUCCUGAACAGAGAUCACAUGCUGCAACCAGCUUUGUCUUUCCUGAUUUAGCUGGUGCAUUUCCAUUGCUUGUAAAUUCAUUUCCUACAAAUUCAUUUUUUAAAGGUGUGUCAGUGGUGAUUUCUAAAUUCUGCAACUUUGUGUUUAUAUUAUCACAACAUUCUUGUGUAAUUAUUCUCACAAAAAUAUAUUCAAGUCUGUAAAUUUUAUUCCACUGUCUAUUGUAUUGUGAGGGUUGAUAUUUAGAAUGCACAAACUCAUGCUGCCCAGAAAACAAAACACAAAAAGCUGUUAUUAGUGACUUAGAAUUAUCAAUGUUCCGUUUUGUUUACUAUUACU